UAUGGCCAUAUAACGUCGAAACACCAGUUCUCACCCGAACACCGAAGUUAAGCAACGUUGAAUCUGCUCACUACCUGAAUAGGUGACCGCUCGAGAAUACCAAGUGCUGUAAG
rnacentral:rRNA from 1 species